rnacentral:rRNA from 1 species
GACGAACGCUGGCGGCGUGCUUAACACAUGCAAGUCGAACGGAAAGGCCCUGCUUUUGUGGGGUGCUCGAGUGGCGAACGGGUGAGUAACACGUGAGUAACCUGCCCUUGACUUUGGGAUAACUUCAGGAAACUGGGGCUAAUACCGGAUAGGAGCUCCUGCUGCAUGGUGGGGGUUGGAAAGUUUCGGCGGUUGGGGAUGGACUCGCGGCUUAUCAGCUUGUUGGUGGGGUAGUGGCUUACCAAGGCUUUGACGGGUAGCCGGCCUGAGAGGGUGACCGGCCACAUUGGGACUGAGAUACGGCCCAGACUGCUACGGGAGGCAGCAGUGGGGAAUAUUGCACAAUGGGCGGAAGCCUGAUGCAGCAACGCCGCGUGCGGGAGGACGGCCGUCGGGUUGGAAACCGCUUUCGCCUGUGACGAAGCGUGAGUGACGGUAAUGGGUAAAGAAGCACCGGCUAACUACGUG